rnacentral:misc_RNA from 1 species
GAUGAAGAACGCAGCGAAAUGCGAUACGUAAUGUGAAUUGCAGAAUUCAGUGAAUCAUCGAGUCUUUGAACGCACAUUGCGCCCCCUGGUAUUCCGGGGGGCAUGGCUGUCCGAGCGUCAUUGCUGCCCUCAAGCACGGCUUGUGUGUUGGGCCUCCGUCCUCCUCCCGGGGGACGGGCCCGAAAGGCAGCGGCGGCACCGCGUCCGGUCCUCGAGCGUAUGGGGCUUCGUCACCCGCUCUUGUAGGCCCGGCCGGCGCUUGCCGACACAUCAAUCUUUUUUCCAGGUUGACCUCGGAUCAGGUAGGGAUACCCGCUGAACUUAAGCAUAUCAAUAAGCGGAGGA